rnacentral:rRNA from 1 species
UACGAAGGGGGCUAGCGUUGUUCGGAAUUACUGGGCGUAAAGCGUGCGCAGGCGGCUUUUUAAGCCAGAGGUGAAAUCCCGGAGCUUAACUCCGGAAUUGCCUUUGGGACUGGAAGGCUUGAGUCCGGGAGAGGUGAGUGGAAUUCCUAGUGUAGAGGUGAAAUUCGUAGAUAUUAGGAAGAACACCAGUGGCGAAGGCGGCUCACUGGCCCGGUACUGACACUCAUGUGCGAAAGCGUGGGGAGCAAACAGG